rnacentral:piRNA from 1 species
UGAGGCUUCUUUCAAAGUCAAUGCUGAA